rnacentral:tRNA from 1 species
GAAGGUUUAGUUAAAUAAUAACAUUAGAAUGUCAAACUAAAAUUAUCAUAUUUAUUGAUAUCCUUCU